UACGUAGGGGGCAAGCGUUGUCCGGAAUCAUUGGGCGUAAAGAGCGUGUAGGCGGCCCGGUAAGUCCGCUGUGAAAGUCGGGGGCUCAACCCUCGGAUGCCGGUGGAUACUGUCGGGCUAGAGUGCGGGAGAGGCGAGUGGAAUUCCUGGUGUAGCGGUGAAAUGCGCAGAUAUCAGGAGGAACACCAAUUGCGAAGGCAGCUCGCUGGAACGUAACUGACGCUGAGACGCGAAAGCGUGGGGAGCAAACAGG
rnacentral:rRNA from 1 species